UAUCAUGUGAUUAUGUCAUGAUUUCAUCUGAUAUUUUAACAUUUGCUCCACACUCUCUGUUAUAGUUCAGUUCAUCAGAAGACAUCAGAAGCAGAGCCCAGCUGUGUGUCUCUGAGGAGUGGUGUUUCUUUGCCUCGUCCAAUUAAUUUUAAAAGUGAUGACACAAGGUUUAACCUCAAGUCAAUCCUGCAACACAGAUCAGUAACAAAACCCUUCUGUAAGAAAUAUGACCAGUCUAUGAAUCAACCACAACACAGCACGUAUCCUGGUGUGAGACAUGAAGUCCUCAACACGUUCAGAUCAAAUCUGAAGCAGACGUUUGGGCAUCUGUAUGAGGGAACAGCGACGCAGAGAAACCCAACACUCCUGAAUGAGAUCUACACAGAGCUCUACAUCACAGAGAGUGAGAGUGGAGAGAUCAGUAAUGAGCAUGAGGUGAGACAGAUUGAGACACAGUCCAGGAGAGCAGCAACAGAGGACACAGCCAUCAA